rnacentral:rRNA from 1 species
UACGUAGGGUCCAAGCGUUGUUCGGAUUCACUGGGCGUAAAGGGUGCGUAGGCGGUCGGGUAAGUCUGAUGUGAAAUCUCACAGCUUAACUGUGAAAUUGCAUUGGAUACUAUUCGGCUUGAGAGUUGGAGGGGGGACUGGAAUUCUUGGUGUAGCAGUGAAAUGCGUAGAUAUCAAGAGGAACACCAGUGGCGAAGGCGAGUCCCUGGACAACUUCUGACGCUGAGGCACGAAAGCUAGGGGAGCAAACAGG